rnacentral:rRNA from 1 species
AGAGUUUGAUCAUGGCUCAGGACGAACGCUGGCGGCGUGCUUAAUACAUGCAAGUCGAGCGGCAGCACGGUCUUCGGACUGGUGGCGAGCGGCGGACGGAAGAGUAACGCGUAGGAACAUACCCCAAAGUGAGGUAUAACCGCCCGAAAGGGUGGCUAAUACCGCAUGUGAUCUUCGGAUAAAGCUUUAUGCGCUUUGGGAAUGGCCUGCGUUCGAUUAGCUAGUUGGUGAGGUAAAAGCUUACCAAGGCUACGAUCGAUAACUGGUCUGAGAUGGAUGAUCAGUCUGACUGGAACUGAGUCACGGUCCAGACUCCUACGGGAGGCAGCAGUAGGGAAUUUUCCACAAUGGGCGAAAGCCUGAUGGAGCAACGCCGCGUGCAGGAUGAAGGCCUUCGGGUCGUAAACUGCUUUUAUGUGAGAAGAAUAUGACGGUAACACAUGAAUAAGGGUCGGCUAACUACGUGCCAGCAGCCGCGGUCAUACGUAGGACCCAAGCGUUAUCCGGAAUUACUGGGCGUAAAGAGUUGCGUAGGUGGCACUGUAAGUGGAGCGUGAAAGCGUGCGGCUCAACCGCAUUACUGCGUUCCAAACUGCAGAGCUUGAGUAUGAGAGAGGUAGAUGGAAUUCCCAGUGUAGGAGUGAAAUCCGUAGAUAUUGGGAGGAACACCGAUGGCGUAGGCAGUCUACUGGCUCAUUACUGACACUAAGGCACGAAAGCGUGGGGAGCAAACGGGAUUAGAUACCCCGGUAGUCCACGCCGUAAACUAUGGAUGCUAGCUGUGACACACAUCGACCUGUGUCGUAGCGAAGUUAACGCGUUAAGCAUCCCGCCUGGGGAGUACGGUCGCAAGAUUAAAACUCAAAGGAAUUGACGGGGACCCGCACAAGCGGUGGAGCGUGUUGUUUAAUUCGAUGGUAAGCGAAGAACCCUUACCAAGGCUUAGAAAUCCCGAUAGCAGUUCAUCGAAAGAAGACCUCAUUUAGUUGGAUCGGUGACAGGUGAUGCAUGGCCGUCGUCAGCUCGUGUCGUGAGAUGUAUGGGUAAGUCCAUUAACGAGCGCAACCCUGAUGUUAGUCGGAUUUUUCUAAACAGACUGUCCUGUGCAACAGGGAAGAGGGAAGGGGAUUGACGUCAGGCUCGGUAUUUUCCUUACGUCUUGGGCUACUAAUCACGCUACAAUUGGCCGGUACAAAGGGCAGCAAACCCGCGAGGGGGAUGCAAUCUCAUCAAAACCGGUCUCAGUUCGGAUUGCAGGCUGAAACUCGCCUGAAUGAAGCUGGGAUCGCUAGUAACGGUAGGUCAGCACACUACCGUGAAUACGUUCCCGGGUCUUGUACACACCGCCCGUCAAACCAUGAAAGUGGCCAACACCCCAAAGUCUGAGCUUUGCCUCAGCCUAAGGUGGGGGACAUGAUUGGGGUUAAGUCGUAACAAGGUAUCCGUACCGGAAGGUGCGGAUGGAUUACCUCCUU